rnacentral:lncRNA from 1 species
GGUGACCUGAUCUUCACCCAAACUCAGAUCCUUGCUGCCUCCCAGAAACAGCAGACACCUAAGUCCAAUGUAGCUUGCCAGGAUCUCAGGGAAUGAAAUUUUAUAGUUUGUCAAAUCCAUGGUCUGCUGUUUACUGGAUGAAGAAUAAGACUGCCUAAAAGAGACUUUCUGAUAGCUGAUGCCAGGAACAGCAAAAAGCAGAAUGUCCAGUUGGGGAUAGUUAACCAAGCCCCUCUGAAUUCUUCUUCUUGAGGCUAACCUCUGCUCACUGGUCCCCAUUUUAUAACCAUGCUCAAGGAACCUAGGCUUCUCCUCUUCUCUUACAGCAUGUUUAAUAUCACUACUUUAUCCAUUCUGUACUGGCAGACAGUUGGCAUCUGUGUGAAGAUGUGAAUGGAGGAGGCAGAGUAGGCAGUGAGUGCCACAGCCACAGCUUGGGUUCUCUGCAGCCCUGGCACAGAAGAUAGGAACACCCAUGGGGGAUGGGGCCACCAUGAUGUCUUCCCACACAAGAAGUGCCAAGUGUUUUUCUCAUGCUUUUCUGGAUUGUUCCAUGGUGGACAAGUCAGCAGGAGUGAGAUGGAGCAGCACAGUAGAGGGUUCCUUAGAUCCUGGGAUGAGGAGGUGGACCAGCAGAAGGUGGGCUUGGGAAGGCAGCCCGGGGUCCAAAUCCUCCUGGCUCUUCAGCUUAGUGGGUUAGUUAACAUUCAGAAGCCUUCAUCUCCCAUCUGCAAAAUGGGCAUGUCCAACUUAGAAGCUGCCUUGAAGAAAGGGUGUACCCAGCAUGGUGCGUGGAGCCUAAGCAAUCAGUACUUCAGGACUUCACCCGGCCCCUUUCCAAUAACUGCUGCUGUCGCCCUCACAGGAUGUCACCUUCAGUGUCUGAAAGCUGGGUUUGAUGCGUCUGGAAAGGCACCCCUGACAGGCGUCAUUGCCAGGAGCCCCUAAUGCCACCAGCAGCCAGCAGGGGACGGCGUCCUCUGCUCGCUCACUUCUGACCCUUCUCUCGUUGCACCUGGAAUAUGGUGCAGCUGGGAGCAGCCUGGGCUGCGGGGAAGGCUCAGAUUUGGGGACGGCCCUUGCCAGUGACUGUGACCUGGGGUGUCUUGGAAACUCCCAGUCUCAGCUUCUCCAUUUAUAAGAUGAGAAUGAUCAUACCAGCCUCAGGCAAGGUUGUUUGUGCAUUAGUGAAAUCAGACGUAUUAAAUAAAGUACCACAUUGAUCGUGGAGUUGUUGAAUAACCAAGAACACACCUAUCU